GCAGCUCUGCUCUUUGUCUUUAUUUUUAGGAAGUCAAGGCAGAGAGCAGCUGUCAAGGCUGAGUGGGCAAGAUGGACUGCUUGCCAUCUAUCCUAGCCCAGCAUGCCCAUGCCAGGUGCUGUUGCUGCCCUAGGCAUGCCGGGGAAGAGAGGAGGGCAGGUAUCUUCCGGGCGGCCUCUGGAGUCAAAUCAAGACUUGAGGUACCCUGGGCAGGCUUGUAGCCACAGCUUGGAAGCGGCAGCACCGAAGCGCACACAUUGAGAACGUCUCAACGUCCACGUCCGACCGAGGAUGGAUUUUGUCUGCUUGUCUUCCAAAAGCUAAGUGUCGGGGCCAGUGGUUGGGAGAAGGGGAAAAGCCUUUACUAUCACAGGAGGCAAUCUGAUGUCAGCUUAGCGGAGAGGUCUGUAGUGGGACAGGCUCCCUGGAAGUAAAGGGAGAGGGUUUCUCCUCAGCCUCACCAGAGCC